rnacentral:rRNA from 7 species
CACAUGACUCUCGGCAACGGAUAUCUCGGCUCUCGCAUCGAUGAAGAACGUAGCAAAAUGCGAUACCUGGUGUGAAUUGCAGAAUCCCGCGAACCAUCGAGUUUUUGAACGCAAGUUGCGCCCGAGGCCUUCUGGCCGAGGGCACGUCUGCCUGGGCGUCACG